GAAAAUUGGAGACACAUGAACAAUAUAUAAGAGCUUUAUUUUGAAGCUUUUGCAAAAUGGAAUUCUGCCCUUGUGCAGAAGACCUGGUUCCCAGGAAGGCUGGGGUUUAUAUACAGGUCCAAAUAUACAGUCUCUGCCCCUUUCCUAGGUUCACAAUCUAUCGAAGUCUAUGUA